rnacentral:rRNA from 1 species
AUUGAACGCUGGCGGCAGGCUUAACACAUGCAAGUCGAGCGGGGUGAUGGUGCUUGCACUAUCACUUAGCGGCGGACGGGUGAGUAAUGCUUAGGAAUCUGCCUGUUAGUGGGGGACAACAUCUCGAAAGGGAUGCUAAUACCGCAUACGUCCUACGGGAGAAAGCAGGGGAUCACUUGUGACCUUGCGCUAAUAGAUGAGCCUAAGUCGGAUUAGCUAGUUGGUGGGGUAAAGGCCUACCAAGGCGACGAUCUGUAGCGGGUCUGAGAGGAUGAUCCCCCACACUGGGACUGAGACACGGCCCAGACUCCUACGGGAGGCAGCAGUGGGGAAUAUUGGACAAUGAGGGGAACCCUGAUCCAGCCAUGCCGCGUGUGUGAAGAAGGCCUUAUGGUUGUAAAGCACUUUAAGCGAAGAGGAGGCUCUUUUGGUUAAUACCCAAGAUGAGUGGACGUUACUCGCAGAAUAAGCACCGGCUAACUCUGUGCCAGCAGCCGCUGUAA